AGUGAACGCUGGCGGCAGGCCUAACACAUGCAAGUCGAACGGCAGCACAGAGGAGCUUGCUCCUUGGGUGGCGAGUGGCGGACGGGUGAGGAAUGCGUCGGAAUCUGCCUAUUUGUGGGGGAUAACGUAGGGAAACUUACGCUAAUACCGCAUACGACCUACGGGUGAAAGUGGGGGACCUUCGGGCCUCACGCAGAUAGAUGAGCCGACGCCGGAUUAGCUAGUUGGCGGGGUAAAGGCCCACCAAGGCGACGAUCCGUAGCUGGUCUGAGAGGAUGAUCAGCCACACUGGGACUGAGACACGGCCCAGACUCCUACGGGAGGCAGCAGUGGGGAAUAUUGGACAAUGGGCGCAAGCCUGAUCCAGCCAUGCCGCGUGUGUGAAGAAGGCCUUCGGGUUGUAAAGCACUUUUGUCCGGAAAGAAAUCCAAUCGAUUAAUACUCGGUUGGGAUGACGGUACCGGAAGAAUAAGCACCGGCUAACUUCGUGCCAGCCGCCGCCGUAAAAC
rnacentral:rRNA from 1 species